rnacentral:rRNA from 1 species
UCGUAAGUGCGAUUGAUUUAGCGGCCGCCGUUCGAUCUUGUGCAGCAGCCGCGUAAUUCCAGCUCCAAUAGCGUAUAUUAAAGUUGUUGCGGUUAAAAAGCUCGCAGUUGAACCUUGGGCCUGGCUGGCCGGUCCGCCUCACCGCGUGCACUGGUCCGGCCGGGCCUUUCCCUCUGUGGAACCCCAUACCCUUCACUGGGCGUGGCGGGGAAACAGGACAUUUACUUUGAAAAAAUUAGAGUGCUCCAGGCAGGCCUAUGCUCGAAUACAUUAGCAUGGAAUAAUAAAGUAGGACGCGCGGUUCUAUUUUGUUGGUUUAUAGUAUCGCCGUAAUGAUUAAUAGGGACAGCCCGGCGCGCAGUAUUCAACUGUCAGAGGAGAAAUUCAUGGAUCAGUUGAAGACUAACUACUGCGAGAGCAUUUGCCAAGGAUGUUUUUCUUUUAUCAGGAGCGAGAGUGAGGAGAACAAAAAAAAUCGGGUGGCGUGUGUAGACUAUAACACCAAACCAAGCCCGAGGGGGGGGGUGUUUUUUUUCUCUCUCCCCCCCCACGAAAAAAAGUGUCUCUGCGCGCGUGGGGAAAAAAAAAAAAAGAGAUAUUUUGAUGUCGGGGACGGCGCGCGCGCGCGCGCGCGUUUUUUUUGUGUUAUAUAAAACAACACCCCACCAACCACACCAGAAAAAGAAGAAGAGAGGCCGUCCUUUUUUUUUUUUUUGUGUGGAGGGCGCGCGCGCGCCCCGCUGGGGGGUGUGUGUGUGGUGUAUUCUCACUAAGAG